UUAAGCGACUAAGCGUACACGGUGGAUGCCCUGGCAGUCAGAGGCGAUGAAGGACGUGCUAAUCUGCGAAAAGCGUCGGUAAGGUGAUAUGAACCGUUAUAACCGGCGAUGUCCGAAUGGGGAAACCCAGUGUGAUUCGUCACACUAUCGUUAACUGAAUACAUAGGUUAACGAGGCGAACCGGGGGAACUGAAACAUCUAAGUACCCCGAGGAAAAGAAAUCAACCGAGAUUCCCCCAGUAGCGGCGAGCGAACGGGGAGCAGCCCAGAGUCUGAAUCAGCUUGUGUGUUAGUGGAACGGUCUGGAAAGUCCGACGGUACAGGGUGAUAGUCCCGUACACCAAAAUGCACAGGUUGUGAACUCGAAGAGUAGGGCGGGACACGUGGUAUCCUGUCUGAAUAUGGGGGGACCAUCCUCCAAGGCUAAAUACUCCUGACUGACCGAUAGUGAACCAGUACCGUGAGGGAAAGGCGAAAAGAACCCCGGCGAGGGGAGUGAAAAAGAACCUGAAACCGUGUACGUACAAGCAGUGGGAGCACCUUCGGGUGUGACUGCGUACCUUUUGUAUAAUGGGUCAGCGACUUAUAUUCUGUAGCAAGGUUAACCGUAUAGGGGAGCCGCAGGGAAACCGAGUCUUAACUGGGCGUUAAGUUGCAGGGUAUAGACCCGAAACCCGGUGAUCUAGCCAUGGGCAGGUUGAAGGUUGGGUAACACUAACUGGAGGACCGAACCGACUAAUGUUGAAAAAUUAGCGGAUGACUUGUGGCUGGGGGUGAAAGGCCAAUCAAACCGGGAGAUAGCUGGUUCUCCCCGAAAGCUAUUUAGGUAGCGCCUCGUGAACUCAUCUUCGGGGGUAGAGCACUGUUUCGGCUAGGGGGUCAUCCCGACUUACCAACCCGAUGCAAACUACGAAUACCGAAGAAUGUUAUCACGGGAGACACACGGCGGGUGCUAACGUCCGUCGUGAAGAGGGAAACAACCCAGACCGCCAGCUAAGGUCCCAAAGUCAUGGUUAAGUGGGAAACGAUGUGGGAAGGCACAGACAGCCAGGAUGUUGGCUUAGAAGCAGCCAUCAUUUAAAGAAAGCGUAAUAGCUCACUGGUCGAGUCGGCCUGCGCGGAAGAUGUAACGGGGCUAAACCAUGCACCGAAGCUGCGGCAGCGACACUAUGUGUUGUUGGGUAGGGGAGCGUUCUGUAAGCCUGCGAAGGUGUGCUGUGAGGCAUGCUGGAGGUAUCAGAAGUGCGAAUGCUGACAUAAGUAACGAUAAAGCGGGUGAAAAGCCCGCUCGCCGGAAGACCAAGGGUUCCUGUCCAACGUUAAUCGGGGCAGGGUGAGUCGACCCCUAAGGCGAGGCCGAAAGGCGUAGUCGAUGGGAAACAGGUUAAUAUUCCUGUACUUGGUGUUACUGCGAAGGGGGGACGGAGAAGGCUAUGUUAGCCGGGCGACGGUUGUCCCGGUUUAAGCAUGUAGGCUGNNNNNNUGGAGCUGAGACCAGUCGAAGAUACCAGCUGGCUGCAACUGUUUAUUAAAAACACAGCACUGUGCAAACACGAAAGUGGACGUAUACGGUGUGACGCCUGCCCGGUGCCGGAAGGUUAAUUGAUGGGGUUAUCCGUAAGGAGAAGCUCUUGAUCGAAGCCCCGGUAAACGGCGGCCGUAACUAUAACGGUCCUAAGGUAGCGAAAUUCCUUGUCGGGUAAGUUCCGACCUGCACGAAUGGCGUAAUGAUGGCCAGGCUGUCUCCACCCGAGACUCAGUGAAAUUGAACUCGCUGUGAAGAUGCAGUGUACCCGCGGCAAGACGGAAAGACCCCGUGAACCUUUACUAUAGCUUGACACUGAACAUUGAGCCUUGAUGUGUAGGAUAGGUGGGAGGCUUUGAAGCGUGGACGCCAGUCUGCGUGGAGCCAACCUUGAAAUACCACCCUUUAAUGUUUGAUGUUCUAACGUUGGCCCCUNCGGGGUUGCGGACAGUGUCUGGUGGGUAGUUUGACUGGGGCGGUCUCCUCCCAAAGCGUAACGGAGGAGCACGAAGGUUAGCUAAUCCUGGUCGGACAUCAGGAGGUUAGUGCAAUGGCAUAAGCUAGCUUGACUGCGAGCGUGACGGCGCGAGCAGGUGCGAAAGCAGGUCAUAGUGAUCCGGUGGUUCUGAAUGGAAGGGCCAUCGCUCAACGGAUAAAAGGUACUCCGGGGAUAACAGGCUGAUACCGCCCAAGAGUUCAUAUCGACGGCGGUGUUUGGCACCUCGAUGUCGGCUCAUCACAUCCUGGGGCUGAAGUAGGUCCCAAGGGUAUGGCUGUUCGCCAUUUAAAGUGGUACGCGAGCUGGGUUUAGAACGUCGUGAGACAGUUCGGUCCCUAUCUGCCGUGGGCGCUGGAGAAUUGAGGGGGGCUGCUCCUAGUACGAGAGGACCGGAGUGGACGCAUCACUGGUGUUCGGGUUGUCAUGCCAAUGGCACUGCCCGGUAGCUAAAUGCGGAAGAGAUAAGUGCUGAAAGCAUCUAAGCACGAAACUUGCCCCGAGAUGAGUUCUCCCUGAGACUUUAAGUCUCCUGAAGGAACGUUGAAGACGACGACGUUGAUAGGCCGGGUGUGUAAGCGCAGCGAUGCGUUGAGCUAACCGGUACUAAUGAACCGUGAGGCUUAACCUU
rnacentral:rRNA from 1 species